UACGUAGGGGGCAAGCGUUAUCCGGAAUCAUUGGGCGUAAAGAGUACGUAGGUGGUUUCUUAAGCGGAGGGUCUAAGGCUACGGCUUAACCGUAGUUCGCCUUCCGAACUGGGAGACUUGAGUGCUGGAGAGGAAAGUGGAAUUCCUAGUGUAGCGGUGAAAUGCGUAGAUAUUAGGAGGAACACCAGUGGCGAAGGCGACUUUCUGGACAGUAACUGACACUGAGGUACGAAAGCGUGGGGAGC
rnacentral:rRNA from 1 species